rnacentral:RNase_P_RNA from 1 species
CUGGCAGGCUGCCUUAUCGCUCAAAAAUUUUGGGAGGAAAGUCCGGACACCAUAGCGUAGCAUAGCGGGUAACACCCGUCACCAUAUAGUUUUAUAUGGUAGGACCAGUGCAACAGAAAGUAUGUACAGAUAAUGCUGUAGUGAAAUCAGGUAAACUCUAUGCGGUGCAACGCCAUGUAAACCCGUGCUUAAGGGUUACGCGCUCGAUGCGGGAGGGUAGGCGGUUAGAAGUAAUUGGCAACGAUUACUCCAGAUAAAUGAUAAGGACACAAUAUUGUGGUACAGAAUCCGGCUUACAGGCCUGCUUUCUUU